rnacentral:rRNA from 1 species
GACGUAGGGCGCGAGCGUUGUCCGGAUUUAUUGGGCGUAAAGAGCUCGUAGGCGGCUUGUCGCGUCGACUGUGAAAUCCCGCGGCCCAACCGCGGGUCUGCAGUCGAUACGGGCAGGCUAGAGUUCGGUAGGGGAGACUGGAAUUCCUGGUGUAGCGGUGAAAUGCGCAGAUAUCAGGAGGAACACCGAUGGCGAAGGCAGGUCUCUGGGCAUUAACUGACGCUGAGGAGCGAAAGCAUGGGGAGCGAACAGG